GAUGAACGCUGGCGGCGUGCUUAACACAUGCAAGUCGAACGGUAAAGCCCAGCUUGCUGGGUGUGUUCGUGGCGCAAACGUGAGUAACACAUGAGUAACCUGCCCCUUACACUUUGGUAAGCCUUGGGGACUCGGGCUAUUACCCGAUAGAGGCGCCCACGCCACGGUGUGGGGUGUGAAGAUUUGGCGGUUUUGGAUGGACUCGCGGCCUAUCAGCUUGUUGGUGGGGGAAUGGCUCACCAAGGCGCCGACGGGUAGCCGGCCUGAGAGGGUGACCGGCCACACUGGGACUGAGAUACGGCCCCGACUCCUACGGGAGGCAGCAGUGGGGAAUAUUGCACAAUGGGCGGAAGCCUGAUGCAGCGACGCCGCGUGAGGGAUGACGGCCUUCGGGUUGUAAACCGCUUUCACUAGGGAAGAAGCGAAAGUGACGGUAACUGCAGAAGAAGCACCGGCUAACUACGUG
rnacentral:rRNA from 1 species